GACGAACGCUGGCGGCGUGCUUAACACAUGCAAGUCGAACGGUGAAGCGCCUUCCUUUUUGGUGGGUGUGGAUGAGUGGCGAACGGGUGAGUAACACGUGAGUAACCUGCCCCCUUCUUCUGGAUAACCGCAUGAAAGUGUGGCUAAUACGGGAUAUUCUGGGUCUGUCGCAUGAUGGGUCUGGGAAAGAUAUUGUUUCGGUGGGGGAUGGGCUCGCGGCCUAUCAGCUUGUUGGUGGGGUGGUGGCCUACCAAGGCGGUGACGGGUAGCCGGCCUGGGAGGAUGGACGGUCUCGCUGGGGCUGCGGCACGGCCCAGACUCCUACGGGAGGCAGCAGUGUGGAAUCUUGCACGAUGGGGGCGGUCCUGAUGCAGCGACGCCGCGUGGGGGAUGGAGGCCUUCGGGUUGUGAACCCCUUUCGCCAGUGAAGCAGGCCUGCCUCGUUUGUGGGUGGGUUGACGGUAGCUGGAUCAGAAGCGCCGGCUAACUACGUG
rnacentral:rRNA from 1 species